rnacentral:rRNA from 1 species
AAUAUUGCGCAAUGGAGGGAACUCUGACGCAGCGACGCCUCGUGAGCGAUGAAGGUCUUCGGAGCGUAAAGCUCUGUCCUUGGGGAAGAAGGUCUUCGGACUUGACGGUACCUAAGGAGGAAGCCCCGGCUAACUACGUGCCAGCAGCCGCGGUAAUACGUAGGGGGCAAGCGUUGUCCGGGAUUAUUGGGCGUAAAGGGUGCGUAGGCGGCCUUUUAAGUCAGAUGGGAAAGCCCACGGAUUAGCCGUGGGACUGCAUUUGAAACUGGAGGGCUGGAGUAUCGGAGAGGGUAGUGGAAUUCCCAGUGUAGCGGUGGAAUGCGUAGAUAUUGGGAGGAACACCAGUGGCGAAGGUGACUACCUGGACGAAAACUGACGCUGAGGCACGAAAGCUAGGGGAGAAAACA